rnacentral:rRNA from 1 species
GCCAUGNNCGUGCAGGAAGACUGCCCUAUGGGUUGUAAACUGCUUUUAUACAGGAAGAAACCUUUUCACGUGUGAAAAGCUGACGGUACUGUAAGAAUAAGGAUCGGCUAACUCCGUGCCAGCAGCCGCGGUAAUACGGAGGAUCCAAGCGUUAUCCGGAAUCAUUGGGUUUAAAGGGUCCGUAGGUGGAUAAUUAAGUCAGGGGUGAAAGUUUGCGGCUCAACCGUAAAAUUGCCUUUGAUACUGGUUAUCUUGAAUUAUUGUGAAGUAGUUAGAAUAUGUAGUGUAGCGGUGAAAUGCAUAGAUAUUACAUAGAAUACCAAUUGCGAAGGCAGAUUACUAACAAUAUAUUGACACUGAUGGACGAAAGCGUGGGGAGCGAACAGGAUUAGAUACCCUGGUAG